rnacentral:tRNA from 1 species
GCCUUCGUGGUGUAGUGGUAAGAACCAUUGGCGCGUAUUCCAGAGGUCCGUGGUUCGAGUCCCGGUGAAGGCA